UCACUUCGCUCUUUUUCACUUUACCAAAACUUCGAUACGCUGAAACCCUAAAUUGAGCAGCGGCGGAUCCAAAACCUGAAUUGCAAAUACUUCUUCUUAAUUUUACCCAAACCGCCUUUUUCUCAUCUUCUCUUGCAGAUCCAUCGCUGCACCAACAAACUAAUCAACUACUUCUCACUCUCAGCCACCGCAACCACCUUCAUCUACUUACUACAACAUCAAAAUCUUGUCAAAAGUAUCAAAUUAAAUUCUUGAAGGCAGAUUUCUUGAAGAAAACUAAUGGGUUACUAUGGUUUUGAUUGGGAACCUGGUGGAUCUAAGGGAGGAAGAAGCUCUAGCCCAAUGAUUUCUCCUCUCAAGACAACCGCACCAUACUAUCAGAGAAAUAGAGCUCAUCCUUGCAGUUUUUAUGCUCGGGGUAUAUGUAAUAGAGGUGCUGAGUGUCCUUAUCGCCAUGAAACUCCCCAGAUGCUGAAUGAUGUAAUAGAGGUUGUAGAAUCGGAAUCAGAGUAUGAAUCAUCUUAUCGAAACGCACCACCAAGUGCUACCAUCCUAAAGCUCCAAUAGACAGCAAUGUGUUCCAGUGAGUGUGUGCUUUUGUAACCUACAGAAUUAAAAAGGUCGUGAUGCAAGAUACAGAAAGGGCUAUAUAUGCCAGACUUGUAUGAAACUAAAACAUGUGUGUCAGUGUCCAGUUGGAGACAGCUUGUCAAUGAUCAGUUGCAGACAGCUUAUAUUCCCACGAAGAGAUUCAGUCUUAUUCCCACGAAGAGAUCGAGUCUAUAAGGACUGUACUCCAACUUCGGAUCAUUGCUUGCAGUGCCCAGUUGCCGACAGCUUCUAUUCCUACAGAGGUGUCAAUAUUUAGUUGCAGACAGUUUCUAUUCCCACAAAAAGAUUGAGUCUAUAAAGAGUGCUCCAACUUCUAUUCCCAUGGAGUGUGGAUUGUUCAGUUGCAGAAGUAUUAUUGUGUUGCUGACAAACUUGUUGUGGAGUAUGACAGGUGGGAUGCCGUCCCUGGGUUCCAAUGGCAGGUGAAAUGAAAGCCGUUGUACUUGAGUUAGUAAGCGUUUUCUCAUGUAUACAGAACUACAUUAGGUGAAGCGAAGGAAUGCAGCAGAAAUCUCUUAUAAGAUGGUCAUGCUAAAACCAUCAAUAUAUGAGGGUGUUCGCGGACUUGUUUUGGGUAAUGAAACCUCAGCUUCAAGUGAUGUCAGGUAAAAAUUGAAAAAUGUUAGUAAUCAUAAAUCAAGAUUGUCAAUUUUUAGUGAUAACAUUUUUUUUUCAAUGCAAAACAGCAUGAAGUACUGGAAAUUUGAUACAAACACUAAAUUGUGUUGUUGUAGUUGGAGACAUUGUUAGGAAUGAAUUAGAUCCAGGGAUGUUGAAGUUUAAGCAUACUGUGAUGGCAUUCUGUUAGUACGCGAGUCUGUACUUGUUAAUCAUCAAGUGUGGUUGGGCAGUUGAGCUCCACACUCAGACGUUUUCAGUUGGUCUUUUGAUCAUACAUUGAACCACCAUCUACUUCUUUUUCGUUUUCGUUAUGAAUCCGUCCACUUUCUUCAUGACUGCUAGCUUUUUUUCAUCUCAGAAGAUUGCUGGACCUAGAAGAAUGGUUGAUUUUUUUUUUAAUGGUUAAGGUCAGCUGCGUUUUGUAUUAAUUCCUUAAUAGAACGGUCCUGAAGUUAUGGUAAGGGAGUUUAAUAUGUCUUCGAGAGUCGCGAUACUCGUCCUAAUGAAUUUCUAUUUUUCUC